rnacentral:rRNA from 1 species
GAUGAACGCUGGCGGCGUGCUUAACACAUGCAAGUCGAACGGUGAAGCAGGAGCUUGCUCCUGUGGAUCAGUGGCGAACGGGUGAGUAACACGUGAGCAAUCUGCCCUGGACUCUGGGAUAAGCGUUGGAAACGACGUCUAAUACCGGAUACGAGGCGUGGGGGCAUCCCCAACGCCUGGAAAGAACUUCGGUCCAGGAUGAGCUCGCGGCCUAUCAGGUAGUUGGUGAGGUAACGGCUCACCAAGCCUACGACGGGUAGCCGGCCUGAGAGGGCGACCGGCCACACUGGGACUGAGACACGGCCCAGACGUCUACGGGAGGCAGCAGUGGGGAAUAUUGCACAAUGGGCGCAAGCCUGAUGCAGCAACGCCGCGUGAGGGACGACGGCCUUCGGGUUGUAAACCUCUUUUAGCAGGGAAGAAGCGAAAGUGACGGUACCUGCAGAAAAAGCACCGGCUAACUACGUGCCAGCAGCCGCCGUAACAC